rnacentral:ncRNA from 2 species
UACGUGCUCCGGGGUCGGUGAAAUUCCGAACCGGCGGUCAAAGUCCGCGACCCGGUGCGUCGAUCCCGGUGGCUCAGCCACCGCGGGACGCGCAUCGGUUGAGCCGGUGGAAUUCCGGCACCGACAGUCACAGUCUGGAUGGGAGAAGCACGUC